UACGUAGGGUGCGAGCGUUGUCCGGAUUUAUUGGGCGUAAAGAGCUCGUAGGCGGUUUGUCGCGUCGGCCGUGAAAUCUCCACGCUUAACGUGGAGCGUGCGGUCGAUACGGGCAGACUUGAGUUCGGUAGGGGAGACUGGAAUCCCUGGUGUAGCGGUGAAAUGCGCAGAUAUCAGGAGGAACACCGGUGGCGAAGGCGGAUCUCUGGGCCUUACCUGACGCUCAGGUGCGAAAGCUAGGGGAGCGAACAGG
rnacentral:rRNA from 1 species